rnacentral:rRNA from 1 species
UACGUAGGGUGCAAGCGUUAAUCGGAAUUACUGGGCGUAAAGCGUGCGCAGGCGGUUUUGUAAGUCUGGCGUGAAAGCCCCGGGCUCAACCUGGGAAUGGCAUUUGGGACUGCAAGGCUGGAGUUUGGCAGAGGAGACUGGAAUUCCCGGUGUAGCAGUGAAAUGCGUAGAUAUCGGGAGGAAUACCGAUGGCGAAGGCAGGUCUCUGGGCUAUAACUGACGCUCAUGCACGAAAGCGUGGGGAGCAAACAGG